rnacentral:rRNA from 1 species
GGAAGGAUCAUUCACAAUGAGUGUUUUAUGGCACUCUUUAAAAAUCCAUAUCCACCUUGUGUGCAAUGUUUGUUGGGAGAGAGGCAACUCUUUCCCUUCACAAAUAUCAACCUAUAUCUUUAACAACAUUCGUCUGAUAACAUAUUAUGAAUAUACUUAAUUCAAAAUAUAACUUUCAACAACGGAUCUCUUGGCUCUCGCAUCGAUGAAGAACGCAGCGAAAUGCGAUACGUAAUGUGAAUUGCAGAAUUCAGUGAAUCAUCGAAUCUUUGAACGCAUAUUGCGCUCUUUGGUAUUCCGAAGAGCAUGCUUGUUUGAGUAUCAGUAAACACCUCAACCUCCUCUUGUUUUUUCAAAAGGAGGGUGGACUUGAGCUAUCCCAACAACCUUCACCGGUAGGCGGGCGGCUUGAAAUGCAGGUGCAGCUGGACUUUUAUCUGAGCUAAAAGCAUAUCUAUUUAGUCCUCGUCAAACAGGAUUAUUACUAUUGCUGCAGCUAACAUAAAGGAUAAUUGUCCUCAUUGCUGACUGAUGCAGGAUUUUACGACACUUUAUGUGUUGUUCAACUCGAUCUCAAAUCAAGUAAGACUACCCGCUGAACUUAAGCAUAUCAAUAAGCGGAGGAAAAGAAACUAACAAGGAUUCCCCUAGUAACGGCGAGUGAA